GGCAAUAGCUCAGUGGUAGAGCAUCUGCUUUCCAUGCAACAAGUCUCUGGCUCAACCCCCAGCAUCUCCA